CCCUUAGAUGUCCUGGGCCGCACGCGCGCUACACUGAGUGUCUGAGAUACGAGUCUGCCUGGUCCGGCAAGGUCUAGGUAAUCGCUAAAAGACACAUCAUGCUUGGGAUAGAUUAUUGCAAAUAUUAAUCUUGAACGAGGAAUUCCUAGUAAGCGCAAGUCAACAGCUUGCGUUGAUUACGUCUCUGCCCUUUGUACACACCGCCCGUCGCUACUACUGAUUGGAUGUUUAAGCGAGGUUCUCGAACUGCUAGCGACUUAGCUUCGGUGAGGUCGCAGUGUGGGAAGUGAACCUAGCUUUGGUGUCUAGAGGAAGUAAAAGUCGUAACA
rnacentral:rRNA from 1 species